GGGCUGGGGCACUUCCACUGGACAGCACUGCUCAGGAACAAGUAAGCUGUCAGUGAGCUGUCCCUGGCUCACUGGGGACUCCACUAAAAAAUUCAAUCUGAAGGCACCUGCUGCACUCAGCUCCUCCUGCCUGCAGUCACAGAAGACUUGAAUAAAGAAGAAAAGAAGAAAAUGAAAAACAUAGGAAGCUUCCAAUUUUCACUUCUGGAGAAAGGUGCUUCUCAAACUGCUGUGUCAACUGCGCUGGUCCAGGGAGCAUGAGAAUCAGAGGACAAGCAGGCCCCCUGACUUGGAGCCACUAUUUAUAUGAUGAUGGAGGUGAUUUAAAUUUAUGUGGUAAGCCAGGUAAGGUGGCUCAUGCCUGUAAUCCUAGCACUCUGGGAGGCCAAGGCAGGUGGAUAGAUUGAGCUCAUGGGUUCGAGACCAGCCUGAGCAAGAAGCAAGACCCUGUACCUACUAAAAAUAGAAAAACUGAGGCAAGCAGUUCACUUGAGUCCAAGAGUGGGAGGUUAUGAUGCCAUGGCACUGUACCCAGGGUGACAGCUUGAAUCUCUGUCUCAAAAAAAAAAAAAAAAUUUAUGUGGUAAGGUUGGAUUACUUGAUAAAGAAUGCUGAAACAAUUCACUAUUGAUUUUUUAAAAAGAAUGAUUAUAAAUACAUUCCUAUA